rnacentral:rRNA from 1 species
UACGGAGGGGGUUAGCGUUGUUCGGAAUUACUGGGCGUAAAGCGCGCGUAGGCGGAUUAGAAAGUUGGGGGUGAAAUCCCGGGGCUCAACCCCGGAACUGCCUCCAAAACUACUAGUCUAGAGUUCGAGAGAGGUGAGUGGAACUCCGAGUGUAGAGGUGAAAUUCGUAGAUAUUCGGAGGAACACCAGUGGCGAAGGCGGCUCACUGGCUCGAUACUGACGCUGAGGUGCGAAAGUGUGGGGAGCAAACAGG